ensembl:lncRNA
CUCCCUUCCAUCCCCUCCACUCCCUCGCCCGCUCCCUCCGCGAGCCCCCCACCCCGGCCCCGGCAUGCACACACAUACACGCGCCUGCACAAAAUCCCAAUCAUUCUCAUCAUCGGCUCUUUCCCCUGGUUUUAUUAGGCCCCAUGCUGGGCUGUAAAUUUGCCAUUAACAAGCGUAUUCAUCGCGGGGCCCUCAACAAAAACAACACAGUGAUGCCCAUAACUCAACGCGACACCAAUACCCAAAACUGCUUUUCUCUGUCGCCACGUCCAUCUUAACUCACGUUUCCAUUGUGCGCUAGUUCCUUUUGCCUAGGCACGCCUGAUCUCGUCCCCCAAACCCCCCUUCCCUUAUUAAAAGCAACCUUGCUUAGAUAGAGUGUAAUGCUUAAUAGCCUGGCUAAUACUACGCUACAUAAUUGCUCAGCCCAUUGUAAUGCAGCUAUGCUAUGGCUUAUUAGCAACAGCUUUUGGCCAUAGCUACCCUAGAAAGAAAAGUACUUUGACCACGUGCCCUACUUGGUGACCCUUCAUCAAUAUUUAGGUUUCUAUCGUCCGAGCCACUUGGAUUUGGCAAGACGUCUGAAGUCAAACGUAGCCAUAGCUUAGCUUAGUCACAUGCUUCCUCUUUGUAUUAAAGGAGCCCAGCGUACCAGGCUCCUGGUAGCUCUGCAAUCAAUCCUAAGGCCUCGCAGCACGCAGCCGUGGGCUCUCCUUCUGCCCGAUUAAGGCCAUGCACGCUUAAAUCCCUGUUUUAAAACUGCACCCAUAACAAUUUCUGCGCUCAUGAAUUCCUACAGAGGCCUGGUGCUUCAUCCCACAGAAAACAAAGAAACAAACAAAAUGGACUCCCAAUGGAAGAGGAGAACACUGUUUCAUCAUGGAACGCAAAGCUGUCGUAAUGUCAGAAGCCACUCCACAUGCUCUCCAUGGACUUAACAUGUGCACCAACAGUAUUACCCUACAGCCCCUUGUGUUAUCUGUUUAAAGCGGUGCAUCGGACUAUUCUAUCACAGUAGAUUUCCAUGCAGGAGAAUCAGGAAUCAUUUUCAACAAGAUGAUGCGGUAGAGGGAAGAUGGAACUGUGCUAUUUGGGUUAGAAAUGCAUUUGUCACGAAGAUUCCUCUGUUCACAACUGUUAACAUUCCUAUCUACAUAAUUUUUACAUAAUAGAUUCAUUCUGAAUUACUUAACUUUUGGCUAACUUUAGUUACAUUUAUGUUCUAAAGAUUGUAGAUGCUGGGAAGACAUUUGAAUGUGUCACCCAUGGCAGCAGUGAAGGAUAAUGCACUGUGAUUGGACGGCUCUGUGUGUCAGCUGACACAAUGGAUGACGAGUGAGCUGUCGUCUUUAUACUCUAUGCAACUGUUUAUUUUUGUUAUCUUUGUGUGUAUGUGUGUGUUAUUUAGCUCAUGAGUUGAAUUACGUUUAUAAAAGGAGGACUACCGCUUCAGACUACUGAUGAAAAUCAUUUAAAGGAGUCUACAGUUAAAGCACUAAACGUUAGGGCACCAAAAUACGAUUUACACGGCAUGUGCUGCCCGUGAGUGUGGGCGAGCUUUCACAAGUGGAGUGCACUUCUUAAAAGAAUGGCAUUCAUUAAGACCUCACAUUUAGCUUGGCUCGCGGAUUUGUCUCUGACAAACCCUGAACUGUUCUCCACACGGCUCCCUGCUGACGUUAAUCAGGUUCAGCAUUUAUACAUCAAGUAUUUUUGAUGGCACAACUGUGUGUGGUACACGGGUGGUGGAGGCUGAACCAGGCUCAAUACAGCCCAUGUGAUUAAAUCCUAGCUUUCAAGCUAACCAGGCUUUGAGAUGCUUGGCUUUUUCCACGUGCCAGCUAACAGCUACAUUCCAGUAGCUAGAAGCCACCACCUAUCAGCUACUAGCUAUUAGUUAGCCACAAGCUAUCAGCUACUAGCUACCAGUUAUUAGCUACCAAUUACUAGCUAUCAACUAGUAGCAAUCGUCCAGCAGCUAACAGCUAUCAUCUAGAAGCUACCAGCUAGUAGCUAUUCGCGUGUCGGUAAUACAUCUUCAGAUGAAACAUGCCUGAUACAGUGGUUUAAAACAUUGCCUUCAUUUCCUGACUUUGACAUUGAUCACAUGUUCACUGCACACAUAUUUCCACAUCCAAAUCCACACACACAUACAGACACACACACACGCGAGCGCGCGCGACCAAGCACGCAUGCAGUCACAAACGUACACACACACACACACACACACACACACACACACACACACUCACACACACACACACACGCACGCACGCACGCACGCACGCACGCACGCACGCACGCACGCACGCACACACACACACACACACACACACACACGCACACACAGACAAAAGCAAUAAAGUAGGUACUAUCAUGGCUUAAUUCAUUCUAUAUUAAAUUUCGGGAAGUGGCAAUUUUUUUGUAUUUCGAUUGAUAAUCUAUGCAAAUGUUUUAAAUAUUACUUUUUAACAAUCUAUGCAGGCCUUCUGCUAUUGGAUCAAGGGAGACCCUAAUUUAGCAAAUGUAUUCUUUUGAUAAUCAUGUACAUCUCAGUGCUCAAGACAAUUACUUAUCUGCAUGGAUAAGCUUGAAAUUAUGUUUUUAAUCUCAAGUAAAAAGAAAAUCAUUCCUCUGAUAUCUUUUCAGGGACAUUAAAUGCCCCGUUAAAUGCACAUGCAUUUUGAUCUCAUUGUAAUUCUAUUGGUUUCACUUAACCUUAUUUUCGCACAAAUCUAGUAUAUCUAUGCUGAUGUUUGAUGUCUAUAUGUUGCUUCUAAUCAUUUUCAAUGAGCGUGUUAUGCAAUUUAUUUUUAUUUGUUCACCACACGUGCCUUUGCAUGGAAACUAUCUUCAAUAAAGGUUUACAUUGAAAAAAAAGACAAAAAAA